CAGCCGCCGCGGUAAUACGGAGGGAGCUAGCGUUGUUCGGAAUUACUGGGCGUAAAGCGCGCGUAGGCGGUUACUCAAGUCAGAGGUGAAAGCCCGGGGCUCAACCCCGGAACUGCCUUUGAAACUAGGUGACUAGAAUCUUGGAGAGGUCAGUGGAAUUCCGAGUGUAGAGGUGAAAUUCGUAGAUAUUCGGAAGAACACCAGUCGCGAAGGCGACUGACUGGACAAGUAUUGACGCUGAGGUGCGAAAGCGUGGGGAGCAAACAGGAUUAGAUACCCGUGUAGUCCCUGUCUCUUAUAC
rnacentral:rRNA from 1 species